AUGCUAUGCUAUGCGGCCCACCACUGCAGUAGGGAUUCCCACGCUAGGCAGCUCAACAGUGGUGGUGAAUUCAUUACCAUCGUUUGGCUUCUGUCCACUGCCAUGUUCAAUCGCCGGUACUGUGAUGAGGAUUGGUUUAAGAAGGGCGUGCGGAAGUUCUUCAGGCCACCAUUCCAUCUUGAGCAGUAUGAGGACGAGGGUUGUAUGCUACCUCUUUGCUGCGGUAUUUAUAUUGUGUAG
rnacentral:rRNA from 1 species